rnacentral:ncRNA from 1 species
CCGGUUCCGGUUCACACCAGCUGCGCUGGUGACCCGGCGACC